ACAAAAAAAGAGGCACAAACAGCUUUUUUGUUUGUUUGUUUGCUUGUUUGUUUUUCUUUCACUGAAUGGCUUCCAUCUUGGCCUUCUUGCUUCUAUUGAUCACGUAUAAAGUCA
rnacentral:ribozyme from 1 species